rnacentral:rRNA from 1 species
CCUACGGGAGGCAGCAGUGGGGAAUAUUGCACAAUGGGCGCAAGCCUGAUGCAGCCAUGCCGCGUGUGUGAAGAAGGCCUUCGGGUUGUAAAGCACUUUCAGCGGGGAGGAAGGCGUUAAGGUUAAUAACCUUGUCGAUUGACGUUACCCGCAGAAGAAGCACCGGCUAACUCCGUGCCAGCAGCCGCGGUAAUACGGGGGGUGCAAGCGUUAAUCGGAAUUACUGGGCGUAAAGCGCACGCAGGCGGUCUGUCAAGUCGGAUGUGAAAUCCCCGGGCUCAACCUGGGAACUGCAUUCGAAACUGGCAGGCUAGAGUCUUGUAGAGGGGGGUAGAAUUCCAGGUGUAGCGGUGAAAUGCGUAGAGAUCUGGAGGAAUACCGGUGGCGAAGGCGGCCCCCUGGACAAAGACUGACGCUCAGGUGCGAAAGCGUGGGGAGCAAACAGGAUUAGAUACCCCGGUAGUC